GUGUGUGUGUGUGUGUGUAUUUGAGCGUGUGAAAAUGACCGCCUGUGCAGAAGAGAUCAACCAAAAGAUCGCUCUGUUUCUUUGCUGGUUCCGGACAAGCAAACCGAUCACCACAUCAAAAGCUUUAAAAAAGAAGGAAUAUAGCAUUUAAAAGAGAUUAUUAAACUUUUAAUAACAAAACAAUGAUUACAGCUACUGAAGCUGAGAGAUCAGAUCAGCUCAGCUGAGACAAGAGACGAGCAUCAACCAUACAAAAAAGGAAAAGUUACAAAAAAGGAAAAGUAACAAAAGAAAUUGGAAGGGAAUUAUUAUGAAAGCCAAGGAUUACAAUUGCAAUUCAAGCAAUAAUCAAGGAAAAUGAAAAGCUAAAAGAAAAAAUAAACAAGAGAGAUCACUCGAAAGAGAAGAGAAGAGAAAGAAACACAAACUUGGAUCAAGAGAAAUUGAGAG
rnacentral:misc_RNA from 1 species